rnacentral:tRNA from 1 species
GGACCCGUAGCGUAGCUUGGAUAGCGCAUCAGCCUUCUAAGCUGAGGGUCGAGGGUUCAAAAAGCCAGCAAUUAAAGUGAUUGUGGCAUGGGUGUCCCUCCGGGUCCA